GUGGGGAAUCUUGCGCAAUGGGCGAAAGCCUGACGCAGCCAUGCCGCGUGAAUGAUGAAGGUCUUAGGAUUGUAAAAUUCUUUCACCGGGGACGAUAAUGACGGUACCCGGAGAAGAAGCCCCGGCUAACUUCGUGCCAGCAGCCGCGGUAAUACGGAGGGGGCUAGCGUUGCUCGGAAUUACUGGGCGUAAAGGGAGCGUAGGCGGACAUUUAAGUCAGGGGUGAAAUCCCGGGGCUCAACCUCGGAAUUGCCUUUGAUACUGGGUGUCUUGAGUGUGAGAGAGGUAUGUGGAACUCCGAGUGUAGAGGUGAAAUUCGUAGAUAUUCGGAAGAACACCAGUGGCGAAGGCGACAUACUGGCUCAUUACUGACGCUGAGGCUCGAAAGCGUGGGGAGCAAACAGGAUUAGAUACCCUGGUAGUCC
rnacentral:rRNA from 1 species